rnacentral:lncRNA from 1 species
ACAAACUCUUGUGAAAGUUUACCUUUAAGAAUGAUAUCAUUUCAAUAACCAACAUAGUGACUUUUACAGCUCUAAUAUUACUCCAACUAUUCUCUCCCAUAAUCAACAUAUCAUCAUCGAAAUAUAAAUGAUUCAUAAGCUUUAUCUACCUAAAAGCCAGUGUAAAUCCUCAAAUUCACAACAGAGUUAAGCAUUACAUUCAAACCCUAUGCAACAAUGAGAAAUAGGAACGAUGAUAAAAGGUCACAUUGCCUAAGACCCCAACCCAUUAUGAACUCAUUUGUGGGACGCCGGUUUUACCCAAAUUGAAGUUGUAGUUGUACUUAAACAUUCAAGAAUCCACCUCCUCCACUCAGAGGAAGAGUUCAUUUUCUUCAUUUUCUGAGGUUACCUUCCCGAUUACCCUUUUAAGUAUAUUUGCCAAAACCUUCGACAAAAUUUUGUACUUACAACCCACCAGUGAAAUAGAUCUCAAAUCAGUCAGCUUUUGAGAGUUGUUUUUCUUUGGUUUCAAUGCUAUAAAAGGUGUAGUUUGAUCCUUUUUUUACCAAUUUUUCAUUGUCGUGAAAAUCACUCAAGAAUAGCAUUAAAUCAGCAUUAUUAUCAUCCCAAAACACUUCUAUAAUUCCGAAAUUGACAACAUUUAGACACUAGCAUCAUGAUUGUCGCAAUCCCACACCACAUUCCUCAGCCAAACGAACCACCAAAUUCUUUGCCUCUCUAUUAUUCAAAGCCUGAAACUGCAUAGCAUCCAAUCUCAACCAAGACUAAUCUCAAG